CAGUCACAGAUAUAAGCUUGCUUCAUGUUCAAACUACUUUUUCAGUCACAGAUAUAAGCUUGCUUCAUGUUGGAACUACUUUUUCAGUCACAGAUAUAAGCUUGCUUCAUGUUCAAACUACUUUUUCAGUCACAGAUAUAAGCUUGCUUCAUGUUCAAACUACUUUUUCAGUCACAGAUAUAAGCUUGCUUCAUGUUCAAACUACUUUUUCAGUCACAGAGCCAGCUUUCUAGAGAUGAGGAGAGGGCUGAACAGUUGUUCAAUUUUGAUACAGCAGCUUCUGUUGCAAAGAAACAGGGACGAUAGGAAGCAGUGACUAAGUUUGUUAUUAAAGUUUCAUGUUGAUAAUUGUCACGUGUAUGUUAAUACUGGUAGACAAGACUGGUAUUUGUGUGAAAUUGUGUUAAAAAAUGACAUUCUGAAAUAAAAAUUUGGUUUUGAUA